CCCCGUCUCAUAGCCUUUGAACCCUUGAUCUCUUGGUCAUAACGUGUUAUACGAAUCCUCACCAUCAAGACUCAAGGAAGGCUAGUGCAAAGCUCAGACGGGCUUAUACAAUUUGGAGCUCCGAGGAGCCCAAAAGGCCCGGUGGACGCAUUGCCGGAUAAUGAUUUGUCGAACAUAAUUUUCGUGUUUGAUGUAUUAUUGGUAUACAAUAUAUUUACAUUAUUACUUUCAAAAUAAUUAAUAUUAUCAGCAGAGAAAAGAGAGGUAUUUUGAAAUACCUCAUUUGUUCAGUUUAGGGGGUUUUUUGUUAGGGUCUCAAUAAUUUGUUGCUGCUAACGCUGCUGCUGGUAGCCCUCGAAGCCAAGAUCUCAACGAAGAUGACCAGUGCACCUAGCCAUCAAGAUCAAG
rnacentral:lncRNA from 1 species